rnacentral:rRNA from 1 species
CUACGGGGCGCAGCAGUGGGGAAUAUUGGACAAUGGGCGAAAGCCUGAUCCAGCAAUGCCGCGUGAGUGAUGAAGGCCUUAGGGUUGUAAAGCUCUUUUACCCGGGAUGAUAAUGACAGUACCGGGAGAAUAAGCUCCGGCUAACUCCGUGCCAGCAGCCGCGGUAAUACGGAGGGAGCUAGCGUUGUUCGGAAUUACUGGGCGUAAAGCGCACGUAGGCGGCUUUGUAAGUUAGAGGUGAAAGCCUGGAGCUCAACUCCAGAAUUGCCUUUAAGACUGCAUCGCUCGAAUCCAGGAGAGGUCAGUGGAAUUCCGAGUGUAGAGGUGAAAUUCGUAGAUAUUCGGAAGAACACCAGUGGCGAAGGCGGCUGACUGGACUGGUAUUGACGCUGAGGUGCGAAAGCGUGGGGAGCAAACAGGAUUAGAUACCCCCGUAGUC